CCCUUAGAUGUUCGGGGCCGCACGCGCGCUACACUGAAGGAAUCAGCACGUCUUUCUCCUUGUCCGAAAGGACUGGGUAACCAGCUGAACCUCCUUCGUGCUAGGGAUUGGGGCUUGUAAUUCUUCCCCAUGAACGAGGAAUUCCCAGUAAGCGCGAGUCAUAAGCUCGCGUUGAUUACGUCCCUGCCCUUUGUACACACCGCCCGUCGCUACUACCGAUUGGAUGGUUUAGUGAGAUCCUCGGAUUGGUCCCGGCGCGGCCUCUGGUCGUGCCGGAGUGCCGAAAAGAAUGUCGAACUUGAUCAUCUAGAGGAAGUAAAAGUCGUAACA
rnacentral:rRNA from 1 species